AUGGACCUGAAUGCCCCUGUUCAGCUCCUUUGGCUCUUGCUCUGCUUUCCAGGUAUCAGAUGUGACAUCCUGAUGACCCAGUCACCAUCUUCCCUGUCUGUACCUCUGGGAGAAAGAGUCACUCUCAGUUGUCGGGCCAGUCAGGGCAUUAGCAAUUAUUUAAGCUGGUACCAGCAGAAACCAGAGAGACCUCCUAAGCCCCUGAUCUACCUUGCAUCCAACUUGGAAAAUGGAGUGCCAUCUAGGUUCAGUGGCAGUGGAUCUGGGACAGAUUUCACUCUCACCAUCAGCAGCCUAGAGUCUGAAGACACUGGAAUUUACUACUGUCUACAGACUAAUAGUCUUCCUCCCACAGUGAUACAAGUCAUAAUAUAA